AGUGGAAGAAGCGUAAGAAAGAAAAAAGAAAGAAGGCAUAGAAAAAAAGAAAAGUAAGAGGAAGGAAGGAAACGACGAGAAAGCUGAGGAGAGGCAUCGAUAAAUCAAUGGAAUAUGAGUUUAUUCUCAGUAUCAUGAGUUCAUACGAUGCUCAUCCAUGCGGACAUUAUAUCCGAAUUAAUAAGAUGGAAUCGUUGCUAUUAGUGAAGAUGCAGCGAAUCUUGUAAUUAACGCUGUAAUUUCUGUGACUUGUGAAGUUCACUCAAACACUCCUCCACAUCAGUUCGUCUCGUUAUUCCAACGAAUAUGUUGGCUGGAUAGAACGAAAUCGGAAAGAGAGAACGACAGAGAGGCAAUGCUGGCAGUAUCAACGUCCACUACUAGCAAGUACCACCAUCGAAGCUAGGACUGCCAUUGAGAGGAAGUAGAGGAAGAGGUGGAGGAACAGCAGUAGGGUUGUUCCAAGCGUAGAGGGAUUCACUUUAUUGGAGAGUGUUGCCAUCGACAGCCUCGCCCUGUUGGCUGUAGGGGCUCAGAACUAAGCCGUGCGAACAAUGGCAGACCCCCAUGGCGGAUGGCGAGAGAAAGUAAAAAUUAACGAGAAUUCAAGCUCGGCCGGAGCCAUUGAAAAAUUGCCCGGCGUGGCCGCGCGGACCUAGCUGAGCUAUGAAGGAGGUGGCGUACGAGCUACGAGCCAGUAGCCCUUUUAGACUUGUCGACGGGCACAUUUUUUUACCUGCCUUCUCUUUACUUGCCUCAUAUUCGCGUUUUGGUUUAUUUUCAGCAUAAAUGACGAAACGGCGACAACUUCGUUGCAAUACUGUCAACCCUAUAGAAAAAAGAAGAAAAAAAAAAAAAAAAGAAAACAAAAUCUCAAGAAAUGAAAAUACGAAUCGUCUUCUUGCGUAAAUUGAUUAAUGAAGCUAUCGCCUAGUGAGAACAGAGUUCACAACAUCGUUCAUCAUCGAUGUACAUACACGUAAAGCAGAAUUCUUCGUCUGCACCAGAAAAGCGAACCAAUAAAACAUAACUGGAGAUUAUUGGACGAAGAGAAAAUGAUCGAUGAAUUCUAGGAUGUUGGAAAACUCCUUAUUAUUUUCCGGGGUAUCAAGAUCACCGCACGAAAAUGAACAUUAAUUGUGUCAGCGUGGGAUAACGUUUACGAGUAACAUCCCCAUCAAAUUUUUAAGAAAAUAGAUGUUUGAAAUAACCAAUGAUAACAAAUCUUCUUUUUUUUUAAUUUCAAUGUGAAAUCGAUCGUAAUAGGACCAGAAAGAAGGAUAGUUCUUUUUUUUUUUUUUUUUAUCAAAAAAGAAGGAAAUAAGUUCUUGAAGAAGUAAGGUAGAGGAACUUGUUUGGUUGUAUGUUGGUUCGUAACUCGAAAGGUAAGCCUGUCCGUAGGACUACUAGCACGUCCUCCCUUGGGAAUCCUGCGUAUCUGCUUCACGGCACGAGCAAACACGUCGAGAUGAAGGAAGUCUGGCUUCCAUUUCGCAAGACGCGCCGCAGCGAAGCGGAGUAAAUAUUGAUACAGAUCGAACAUCUAAUCGUUCCGGUCGCCCGUUUACCGACAUGCCAUCCAUACAUAUUCGCGAGGGGUGGUAUCGGGCUACCACGUACUAUGUACGUUUUGCAUGUAUACGUUUCCUCAACGGGUACAUGUUUAUCAGUAAGAGAGAGAGAGAGAGAGAGAGAGAGAGAGAGAGAGAGAGAGAGAGAGAGAGAGAGAGAGAGAGAGAAGAAUGGAUAUACGAAACAUGGAUUCGAAAGAAAUCAGUCUGAAAUUUAUGAUGCAAUAAUUUGUUCGUUGCAUAGUCUGCGCGACCCCUAAAGAUUUGCCAAUUAUAUCAAAUUAAUUAAAGUCGAUGAAGAAGAAGAAAGAGCAUAAAGAGCAAAAUUUCAUUUUGCGGCUCAUUGUAUUAUUUUUCCUCAUUCACGAUCGAAUCGAAUGAAAAAUAAAACAUUUAAUUCUAACGACGAUCAUCAACCGAAUGUAUGGAACAAUCGUGCUGCUUUUUAUCAGAUGGUAUGCUUAAACCAUGCAAGAUUCUUUCCCUCAAAUCUGUAACUUCGAUUUUACGAAUGAUGUGCGUACGAAAUAUAUCAAAAUGAAAACUAUUUUAUUCAUAGAUCAA